GGUACGUCGCCAGUCCUAGCCUGCCAUGCGGAUCCGUAAUGCCCGUCUAAAUCAGCCGUUUAAGUGUUGUCGUCGGCGGGCUGGGGGAGGUUGAGCUUUUGCCUAGGGGGCCCCUCAGUAAGAUCCAUAAUACGGUCGGAGAGACAAAAGGUAUCCGGAUGAUUGCUAGUCGCUAAACGUUCGUUGUUUAAUACAUUAAAGCGCUGUAAGUGAGUUGGCAUCACAGUCUUUAUUGCGCCCGUAGACCAAGUCUGUCAUAAUUCAACUGCAGUUUGUACAACGUAACGUAAACUGGGACCACCAAACGUCUACGUUUAUGCGUCCACAAAUCAGUAAGCGGACUAGUCAAGAUUCGGUGCCGUACCCGUGGAACGUAAAUCAGCAUGACGGGCAUCAUCUAAAACAACGCUGUUACACGAAUGUACUUGGUGGAAGCCUGUUUCACUGAUAUCUGCCUUCUCCAGCUGUACUUAUCUAAACGUCACUAUGGGGAUACCAUGUAAGAGUUAACCCGUGCAAUUGGUCGUACUCGUAUGGACACACAUCUGCAUCUGCAAUAUAACGUUUGCCGUCCGUAUAAACUGAGUCACUAUUCUACUAACAGUAGGGUCCGUCAGAAAUAUACGUUCAAUGACCUGCUCAAGCCCUUCGAGACAAUUGCGGUUCUGAUGACAGUGAAAAUUCUCAAGCUUAAACAUUUCUCUUCCUUAGCUACUUAACGUGUGUCGUUUAUAGCGUCAAGAGCUAUUACUUUUAAGUGAAACCUUGAAUCUAGAACAAUGUAGCGUAUGUACGGUUCAUCACUUACCGAUAUUAUGACUGAAUUAAUUGAAAACCAAAGUAUAGUCAAAACAUAUGGAUAAUCUGUUUUCCUUUAUAUAGUAAUAUGAAGUAAACUAAGUGCGAUACAAAAUGAAUCCAAAUGAAUGAGUAAAGAAGCAGCAGCGACCAUAACGACACCCAAGAAGUCAGCAACUUACCAAAGUAAAUCUUAUGAAAAUUUACGUUAUCGUAGAAAGAAACAACAGGUAGAAAGCCACAGUCAUUAGGACGAUAUUGCCUAUAUAUACAAGGUUGUUGUUUAGUGUUAUGUAUUGUCGCCGGUAGCGGAAACCUGGCAUAGAAACACUUGACAACGUCCUCCGUUAUUAAAGUCGUUUCUUUUUAGGAGCUACUUCUGUUUAAAAGAAUUUGCACAUUGCAUUUGAUCGCUAGAGAGUUAAAAAGCCCGUAGUUGUGAUUCUCUGAAUAAAACCGCUAAAGGCACAGGAUACCAUUUAGAGUAUGAGUCCUGAUGGAGAUCGACGAGACCGGGUGUACCCUAACCUAGCAGAUACCCGAAGCUGGGUCCGGAGACAUGAAGCAAAACUUCAGCCCGUCUUCGCCACCCUUUAUGGGGCAUGCAAAACAGGAAAGCGGUUUUAACGGUGGUGUGAACGGCAACAACCUUCCCCACAGACCUCUAAAAUGACCCAUAUUGCCUAUUCUAUGCUUGGCAGGCGACAGAGAGCUCGCGGGCUCGCCCUAAUCCAGUUCUUUUAACGUUAACACCUAAUUUAUCACUUGCUACUAAAUCCUGGUAACUUGCAAUCGUAUUAUGUAAAGCACACCAAGGUUGUUUGGGGUGUUGCAGUUGUCAUUUGACUAAUAUACAGACAUCAUGAUCGCUGCCGUUUCGCUCUAUUGAUUUCCUCGCCGCUGUUCUAUUCUCCUACCUAAAUCGACAUAUUAGCAAAGUCACCCAAAUAGGCUGACUGUUGUUUGUUGUCGGCUAACAGCCAAAGCGUGUUAGUUGGCAUAAUAGUUGGCUAUGAUGCACUGUUAGUGUCAAUAUACAAACACUGAUCCCCGUACA
rnacentral:lncRNA from 1 species